AUCAUCUACAACGUCCGCGCAUGACCCAACCUCGUCGAGAGCACCUCCGGGAGCCGGGAUCUCCAGAUGGUAACCUCCUCCUAUCUCGAUCCCUUCCCACCUAGCAUAGAUGCCUCAUUUACUGCUUAUGUGCGUGCCAAAUCCAUGCCUGGGACCGACCAAGGGGUCUGCUUUUAGUUGGCCGUGUUCAUAUUUGUUGAUAUUCUCAAAGUGUAGCAUGUACGAGUUUUAUUUGUUGACACUCUCCUCAUGUGAAGUGAUUAGUUAGCAAUUUGGACCGGUGGAUGGAGUUUGGUACAUGUAAAACGGUUCUGGCAUUGUCAUUUCUGAGCAUAUUUUGUAAUGGUAGCCUGCAAUGGGGUUGACACUCUGCUCAUAUGCAUUUUAGCUCUUUUGCUUUUAAUCUGUUAGCAGUGGUCACCAUUAUAUAUUGCCUGUGAAUAAGUAUUUCAACUCAUUCGCAUUGAAUCUGUUUACAACAGUCACAAAUACUUGUUUGCUUCAUGAUUAUAUGUUGCCAUGAUGAUUUAAGAUGAUUAGCUGAUGCUGAACAAGUUAUAUCAUUCUGACCAUGUGAAUUUGUUAGUGGUGCACUUAUUUUCAGAAGUAGCAUUUACACCGAAGCUCCUUGCAUAUAUAUGACACUGCUUGGUACAUGUAAAAUGGUUCUGGCAUUCUCAUCUCUGAGCAUAUUCUGUAACUGUAGCCUACAAGGGGAUUGAGCAUAUAUGCAUUUUAGAAAUACUACUGUUUUCAGUUGACAGACUCAAAUAAUGCAGCAUGCAUUGUCCUUUUCCCUGCACAAAUAAUGCAGUAUGAGAUGUGUGACCACAUCAUGUAAUUGUUGUAAUGGUUCAUGAUUCAGUUUUUCACUUGUGUAAUCUUCGUUUACUCUGCUCAAGGGCUGCCCUAGUUAGUUAGUUUUGAUAGGGUCCUUACUGCAUAUGCUGCUGGAAUCUAAUUUGACCUGUUAAGAAUGAGUGUCAAUCAAUCAAACACAAGGAAAUUAAAUGCUCACUAUUUCUCAUAGUGAUUGUUGUGUCGUGUAUAGGUCAAACUAGUGCUGUCCUUGUCUACUUUUGAGGCAUCAACAUGUGUUGCCAUGGUUUUGGUUUUGGUUUCCGGUUGAUGCAUGGUUGGUUUGCUAGCUGUUCGUUAGUACCUACUGGUUGUUACUAUUCCUCUUUUGAGUUAGUUUCCCUGUGUGAGACAGAUUUCUUUCUUGAUGUACCAAUCCUCAAUUAAUGCCUCAUGAAGCUCUUUUUGUAUGCGACCUUCUGUUCAAAUAUUUGUACUCCCUCCGAUCCAUAUUAAUUAACGCUGGUUUAGUAGAACAGUUCUACUAAACUAGCGUAAAUUAAUAUGGAUCAGAGGGAGUACAUGAUUUUGAUUUCCCAAACAUACAAAUGAUUUGCAAGUUGGACUGGAUGUUUUCGAGAAGAUUUCUUAGUGUAGGACCUGGUGCAUGUCUUCUGAAAUCUGACUAGGAGACGUCUUCUUCAUAUCUAAUCAAGAUUUGUUUGUUUCAGAGUUCUAAAGAAAGUAGGAAUGUUCCUGUGCUUUUCCGAAACAGAGUUAGAGUGCUCAAGCGUGCGCCAAGGUUCUAACAUUUUCUCGAACGCUUUGUGCUGGUAUGUAUGUCACAUCUUGCUUCCAUUGCAGUCUCAACACCCACUUUGCGUUUCUGCAAUCACUAAUUAUACUCCAGUUUGGUGGGUUCCAAAUGUUGUUGUUGCACAUGUAAAAGAAAGGGAUUCAGGCUACACAUCUAGCUUCUGGAUGUAUCUAUCUCACUGCCUUUUGCUGUUCCACUCUGGUUUUGCUUACUUUCUAAAAUGGGUGUUUUAAUAAUAAUGUUUAUAGAGGCUGGAGAUGUACCAUUUCUCUCACCUCAUCUUCUUAUCAUUGCGGACAUAUGCCCCCUUCUUUUGGGUGAUGGUGAUUUCAUAUUUAUCAUGGAAUAAAAUAACAUGCUAUGGGAGCAGAAACUAUUCACUUAAUUAUUUAAGGCCAAGAAGUAUAAAUCGAGGCACCUCCUCUCCUCUCCUCCCGUUGAUGCUUGAUUGUUACCUGGAAUAAAGAUUGUUUUCAGGAACAUGAAAGUAUUACUGUUUGUUAGGACAUGAUGACUGUUUGUUUACUGCUUUAUGAUUUUGUGUAGAGUUGUGUCCUUCUUGUCCCCUUUUACCCAAGGCCAUCUUGUUGUGUCAAUGGCUGUGUUGCCGUUUCAAGUUUGUCGACGACAUAGUAUCCCCUGUGAUCCUCUUCAGACUAGACUCUUUAGUUUCUAUCUCAUGUUCAUAGCGUUCUAGUUUGUCGACGACAUAGUAUCCCCUGUGAUCUCUUAGUGAAAUGAGAGGUUUGAUUGAUGCUAUAUAGGAUUGGCUAGUUUUGCUUAAUGCAAUGUCUUAUGCAAUCAGAUUACAUUUCUGUUUGUUAUGGUAAUAUAAAAAAUAAUCGUGCUGUCAAAAUUUUCAUAGUGCGUGCCUUUUAUUUCUUUAGUUUGAUUGUUUCCCUUGUAUUCAAUAUGCUUCUAAUGCCUGAUCCUUUCAUUUUUGUUGUGGCAUCUUUAUUUUCACAGGUGUUGUGUGUCCUGGAAGAUGGAAGAGAAAGAAAACUUAUUUUUGUUGAACUAAAUUUUCUGUAUUCUAUUUUGUUGUACUUAUCAUUUGAUAGUUUUGUAUAGGAACAAGUGAUACUAUUUUGAAGGGCUUUAUGGCCUGUGAUGUAAACAUAUUUAGUGCUGAAAUAUGAAAUUAUUUGCAAAAUUUGUCGAAAAGGAGGAUCAUUUGUAUGAAUAUGUGAAUGGGCUGAAAAGAGUAUUGGACCAACUCCUGGAUUGAAUUAUUAU
rnacentral:lncRNA from 1 species